UCGAACGAGAAAGUGGGAGCAAUCCUGCGAGUAGAGUGGCAAACGGGUGAGUAACACGUGAACAACCUACCCUUGAGUGUGGAAUAACCUCGCGAAAGCGGGGCUAAUGCCGCAUAACAUCCCCGGGUUGCAUGAUCUGGGGAUCAAAGGCGCAAGUCGCUUGGGGAGGGGUUCGCGCCUGAUUAGCUAGUUGGUGAGGUAACGGCCCACCAAGGCAACGAUCAGUAGCCGGCCUGAGAGGGCGAACGGCCACACUGGAACUGAGACACGGUCCAGACUCCUACGGGAGGCAGCAGUGGGGAAUUUUGCGCAAUGGGCGAAAGCCUGACGCAGCAACGCCGCGUGGAGGAUGAAGGCCUUCGGGUCGUAAACUCCUGUCAGGGGGGACGAAGGUCGGGAAACCGGCUUGACUGUACCCCUUGAGGAAGCCACGGCUAACUCCGUGCCAGCAGCCGCGGUAAUACGGAGGUGGCAAGCGUUGUUCGGAAUUACUGGGCGUAAAGGGCGCGUAGGCGGCAUGGCAAGUCAGAUGUGAAAGCCCCGAGCUUAACUUGGGAAUUGCAUCUGAAACUGCUUUGCUUGAGUCCUGGAGGGGGUAGUGGAAUUCCCAGUGUAGCGGUGAAAUGCGUAGAUAUUGGGAGGAACACCGGCGGCGAAGGCGGCUACCUGGACAGUGACUGACGCUGAGGCGCGAAAGCUAGGGGAGCGAACGGGAUUAGAUACCCCGGUAGUCCUAGCCGUAAACGAUGGGCACUUGGUGUUGGGG
rnacentral:rRNA from 1 species